UACGAAGGGUGCAAACGUUGCUCGGAAUUAUUGGGCGUAAAGCGCACGUAGGCGGCUUUGCAAGUCGGAUGUGAAAUCCCUCGGCUUAACCAAGGAAGUGCAUCCGAAACUGCAGAGCUUGAGUACUUAAGAGGAUCGCGGAAUUCCCGGUGUAGAGGUGAAAUGCGUAGAGAUCGGGAGGAAGGCCGGUGGCGAAGGCGGCGCUCUGGAACGUUUCUGACGCUGAGGCUCGAAAGCGUGGGGAGCAAACAGG
rnacentral:rRNA from 1 species